CGAACUUGCGAGACCGCAGGUGGGCGCGUCUUCGCAGCGGUGGUUUUCGCCCCCGUGGGCGCUUCCCGCCGCAGGGAUGGGCCAGUGCCAAGGGCCGCCCAGGCAGGACCCGACCCAGGUGGGAGGGCGGGAGUGCUGGCACGAGCCGGGUUGUCAGCACGUGGGAGCUACAGACCGCUCCGGGGGUCUUACUCCAGGGCCAAGUCAAGUACCGCGAAGAUGGACACAGAACGGGAGCCGCUGGUUAUAAGAGCAAGAGCGAGCCCUGGGGUCCUGAGGGAGGAGUGGCAGGGCUGGGGUGAUGGGCUCCUCCCGAAAAUGGAACUUAACUGCCCCAGAAACCCGGGUCUGAGCUGGAAAGGAGCUUGGCCACGCCUCGUGGAAGCCAGGUCAGACCCGCACGGCGGGUGGUCAGCACUAUUCAGACCCUGCUCAGGAUCCUUCCGCCACAUCAGUCCCACUCCAUCCUCCCCGGAGCAGUCUAUGCCAGGCCCGUCCCUGGUGCGAGGGUCUGUUAAUGAAGAAAAUAGAGAAACUCCAGGCUGCAGAGCUAACUCCAGAGCCCUCCGUCCCGCAAUCCUGUGAUUGUGCCCCGCCGUCUCAGCUGAAACACCCCCUUGGGACUUCAUCUUUCAGAUGAGAGAGAGGGCCCCCUCGGGGGUCGACUCCAGAGCUUGUACACCCCGCCGCCCCUGCUGCCCAGGGCCGAGCCCGGCAGUGGAGUCUCCGAAAUCCCGUUACCUCUUACUCGGCAAACCCUCCCGGUCCUCCAAGAUUGGGUCCCACCUCACUUCCCCCACUCAAGUCUCCGUGAAGUCGCACAGAUACUGUAGGACACGCAUGGACACACAGAAGACAACACAGUCUCUUCCGGGUGGGGCCAGAGUUCCUCAGGCCAAGUUCUUCAAAAGGAAGCUCUGUGACCCCACCCCCUGGCAGUGAAAUGUAUAUGAAUGAGCCCCUCUUUGAGAAACUGCUUUGUCUGUUUAAAUAAAUUUUAAAAAUAAGAAGA